rnacentral:tRNA from 1 species
GGGGAUUUAGCUCAGUGGUAGAGCGCUUGCCUAGCAAGUGGACCCUGGGUUCGGUCCCCAGCUCCG